GACGAACGCUGGCGGCGUGCUUAACACAUGCAAGUCGAACGGUGAAGCUCCAGCUUGCUGGAGUGGAUCAGUGGCGAACGGGUGAGUAACACGUGAGCAACCUGCCCCUGACUCUGGAAUAAGCGCUGGAAACGGCGUCUAAUACUGGAUACGAGAAGGGUCCGCAUGGGCACUUUCUGUAAAGUUUUUCGGUUGGGGAUGGGCUCGCGGCCUAUCAGCUUGUUGGUGAGGUAAUGGCUCACCAAGGCGACGACGGGUAGCCGGCCUGAGAGGGCGACCGGCCACACUGGGACUGAGACACGGCCCAGACUCCUACGGGAGGCAGCAGUGGGGAAUAUUGCACAAUGGGCGAAAGCCUGAUGCAGCGACGCCGCGUGAGGGAUGACGGCCUUCGGGUUGUAAACCUCUUUCAGCAGGGAAGAAGCGAAAGUGACGGUACCUGCAGAAGAAGCACCGGCUAACUACGUG
rnacentral:rRNA from 1 species